rnacentral:lncRNA from 1 species
GAGUCUGGCCUUCUGCUGGGCCCCGGGUCUCUCACUGGCAGAAUGGAGUUCUCGGAGCUGAUCCAUACGGGCUGAGCCCAAGCAGAGUUUCUACGGGGCCCGGAGGCGCCCCCGCUUCGCGGCACGGUGUGAGUCACCGUCCACCACCUGCUCCUGUCGCCAGGGCCCGCGUCCUCUCCGGACCUGUGGCUGCUGCUGUUGCGUAGCGUCGACUCCUUCGAGAAGCAGGUUGCGAGUGACUCGGGCACCAUCACCCUGUGCUGUAAAGACCUGCGAGUGCUGCAGCUGGAAAUAGAGGGCGCGGAAGCGACGCUGGGCAUCGCCCGCUCCAUCGAGGGCCUGAGAUUGGGCGACUCCUGGCACUUCCUCCCGCCCGAACUCUACUGCAAGAGAGUAGCUCGCGAAGUGGGCGCGGUCGUAGGGGCCCGGGAAGGUGGAAGCGCCGGGCCUGGAAGAGGCGCGGGGACAGGGCACUCCCUGGGUGCCCUAGACCUGGCCUCUCUCCUCCCUGCGCUGCAGACCAACGCGUGGCGGCUGAGCGAGGUUCUGCUACGCUCCAGCCAGCCCCUAACUGGUCCCCAGAAGCGGCGCUGCUACAGGGACCAGGAGCUGCUGCGAACUGCGCUGGCGGGGGCUCGUCCUUGGGCGCGGGGCUUCAUCAUGGACACGCUCUCGGCCCAGGCCGCGAAACAAGCCCGCGUGACUGGCGGAGGCACAGAGACCAAGGCCGCUUAACCUGGCUGGUUGCACUGGUCCCUGGAGAGCACUGAGCACAGGGGCUGCCACAGUGGCCGGCUCAGACAUGGCAGAGAUCAGCAGAGAAUGGGCAAUCAGGCUCCCCUGAGAUGAGCAGCAGCGCAGAGGAGGUGCCCCUCUCUUACUACACCAACUUCAGAGGGCGUCCCCUGCAGGAGAGCUUCAUGCGCCUGGUGGAGGCCUGUGGGGACUCGGAGCAAAGCAUGGACAACUGGCUGAGUCGGCUGGACGGCUGCCGCUGACUGUAACAUGUAAAGCAGGCACUGAGCACCACCUGCCUGGCAGUCCAGGGCAUGGAGAGGCACAGACAGCACCCUGCUUGUGACUUCACUGGCCCAACUCAUCCUGGACCCCUUGAGCAAGACCAUGGCUGGAUUCCAGGAACUGGUGGAGUGGAAGUGGAUCCAGGAAAAUGCCGUGUGAAGGGAGGACUCAGAUGCACUCCCUGUGGUCUGGGCUCAACCAGCCAAAAGAGCAACAAAGACUCCAGAACCCACUCUACCUCCUCAAUCCCUUGGCCAUCUGUGGAGCCCCAGAGCCUGCGGCUGUGGCAAGGCCUGUUUCUGCGCUGGACCUGCUCACCUGAGCCUGCAGAAGCUGCAUGGGGGAAGAGUGUGGCAAAUAGUGACAGGAAGGGAGAAGACAGAAGCCUCUCAGCCAACUGCUUCAGCCGAGCCCCUAUUCUAAGCACUGGCUCCUUGGAUAGCAGCUGAGAUGUUCCUGAAACCUCUGCAGGCCCCUUAGGACCUUUACACCUUGGAUGAGGGUGCCUGCAACCCAGGUUAGCCAAAAGUACUGAGGGUCUUAAGUUUGAAGUGUCCAAAGUAUAGGGAGGUCUCAAUAAUAAAAGUCUCCAUGAUCAGC